rnacentral:snRNA from 1 species
GUGCUUGCUUUGGCAACAUAGAUACUAAAAUUGGAAUCAUACAGAGAAGAUUAGCAUGGCCCCUGCUCUAGAUGACACACAAAUUCAUGAAGAGAAAAAGAGCAAA